rnacentral:rRNA from 1 species
AGUGAACGCUGGCGGCAGGCCUAAUACAUGCAAGUCGAACGGCAGCACAGUGGAGCUUGCUCCAUGGGUGGCGAGUGGCGGACGGGUGAGGAAUACAUGGGAAUCUGCCCAGUCGUGGGGAUAACGUAUGGAAACGUACGCUAAUACCGCAUGCGCCCUUCGGGGGAAAGUCGGGGACCGCAAGGCCUGACGCGAUUGGAUGAGCCCAUGUUCGAUUAGCUAGUUGGCGGGUAACGGCCCACCAAGGCGACGAUCGAUAGCUGGUCUGAGAGGAUGAUCAGCCACACUGGAACUGAGACACGGUCCAGACUCCUACGGGAGCAGCAGUAGGGAAUAUUGGACAAUGGGCGCAAGCCUGAUCCAGCCAUGCCGCGUGAGUGAAGAAGGCCCUACGGGUU